AUCUCGUUAGCUCAGUUGGUUAGAGCGUUCGCUUCACACGCGAGAGGUCGGCGGUUCGAACCCGCCACGGGAUA
rnacentral:tRNA from 1 species